ACAACGACAUUCGGACCGUCGGUCUACCGAGCAAUAUCACCCGCUCGGUGGAAGAUCUUCCCUUUGUCGUUAAGC
rnacentral:pre_miRNA from 1 species